AUUGUUGUAAACUUUUUAUACAACACAUAAAUAAUUUGGGAUUGUAUAAUGGUAUGAUGUUGUUGUCGUUGUCUGCGUCGUCCGAUGACACAUUGGUUUCCUGACAAUAACUUUAGUUAUGUGAAUGGAUCUCUUUGAAAUUAAUUAGAAGGUUCAAUAUCACAAAAGGAAGGUUGAGAUUGAUUUUGGCGAUGACGGUCCAAACCGUUUAGGAAUUAGGGGCCCAAAACAAGCAUUUUUUCUUCUUUUAGGAUAAUAACUUGUGUAUAAGUUUUUCAAUUGCUUUGAAAUUGUACCGCAAUGUUGAAUACCACAAGUAGAAGGUUUGCAUUCAUUUUGGGGGUUAUGGUGCCAACAGUGUAGGAAUUAAGGACCAAAAAGGGGCCAUAAACAAGUAUUUUUAUAGUAUCUGGACAUGAACUUGUAAGUAGGAGUAUGGAUCUAUCUGACAAUGUACCACACACAAGGCUCCACAUCACAAAAGAAAGGCUGGGAUUGAGAUUGGGGGUCAAAAACAAGCAUAUAUCUAGUUUCCAGAUAAUAACUUGUGUUUAAGUGUAUGGAUCUCUCUGAAAUUGUACAAGGC
rnacentral:lncRNA from 1 species